CGGACUGCCGUUCAUCACCACCGUUCGUGCCGAACACCAUCAGAAGUGGCUGUGCCGCUCCCUACAAACAUCUGGAGACUUGUCGCUACCAGUGCCGGCGUGGGUACAGUCGUGUUACCGGCAGCACCUACAAACGUUGCCAAAAUGGUGGCUGGAGUGGGUCCGACCUGAUUUGUAGAUACACAGCGACGUUGCCCUGCUCUGCACCACCAAUCCGGACCUGGAGCUUCAGGUACGGGUGUUACCCGCCUUACACACACGGGGAGAGAUGCAGCUUCGCCUGCCGAAAUGGCUCCCCACAGUCCGGCAGCUCAACUAGGACCUGCAACAACGGGGUCUGGUCUGGGACACCUCUCACCUGUGUCAGGCCAAACCAAUAGAUGGUAGGAGCCUAGACAUCAUCAGAGUGUCCACAACUUUGUAAGCGUACCGCUGAGAAGAUGAAAACAGUAAAGACCAACAGCUCUGCUCAUCCCUAAAUAAAUCUAAAAGCAUCUAGAUGCCUUAGUUUGACUAUGUUUAAAAUCUUCUAGAUCUUACAUAAUAUAAGUCAAGGAAAUGCCAUUUUGUUGACAGAGGCGUGCUGCAUUCGGGUGGUGUAAUUACCUUCGCUAUGUUUUUGGUAGCGUUUGUACGUGUUAGCUAUUGUGUGUGGCGGCGAACGGCGGUUAUUCCGGCUAUGAAAAUUUUAGAUACAGAUGUGAGUUUGUGUGAGUGUGUGUGUGUAAGUGAAUGAGUGAGUGCAUGUGUAUGUGUGUGUUUGUGUUUGUGUGUGUGUGUGUGCAAAUAGAAUGCAUAACUCUCGACUGCCUCGGUGAAUUGUCUUGAUAUAUGGUAUGCUGGUAGGUGUUUAUGAGGCCUUGAAAACGGUUAAAUUUUGGAUUCCCUGCUAUUCUUACGUUGAUACCGAGGAGGCUUACAGAGAUGACGUCGACUAGGACUUCAUUUAUUGCCCCACUGCUGCUGGAUGAAUCUGAAAGCACCACUCUUUGUCACUCCAAUAAUCUGUAAUAGGUCAUUAGUGCGUGUGGGAACUGUUUUUUAAAGAUUUGCGAUAGCAGAACCCUUACUGUUUUUGCUGGCAUGUAUGGGCUUGGCCAUUUUGAUUUGCGGUGUAUGACGGGAAGGGUGGCACUAUUUUGGAUUUGACGGAUCAGUGUGUUGUAUGAAGUGAUGUGAUAUAAUGGCUAGAAAAUGUUAUCUUGUGGUCUUGUCAGAAACGGCAGGACUGUAAGAGACACAAGCAAGGGUUAGUGUGUUGAAUGAAGGGAUUGGAUAGGAAUGCUAGGAAAUGUCAUCUUGUGGUCUUGUUUUCAAUCUAAUUUUGGGAUGAGAGUACUGUACACAGACGUUUUUGGCAAUUUUAGAACAGCCACAUUCAAUGUCCGAAUGUUUAUACGAUAUCAUAUGAUAACAUCUUGUCAGACGAUUACAUUGUAUUUAGGUUAUGAAAGUACACGCGAUCUAUUAAAAAUGAUAAUGAUAAGCUGUUUGUAUA